rnacentral:rRNA from 1 species
GACGUAGGGUGCAAGCGUUAAUCGGAAUUACUGGGCGUAAAGCGUGCGCAGGCGGUUAUGUAAGACAGAGGUGAAAUCCCCGGGCUCAACCUGGGAACUGCCUUUGUGACUGCAUAGCUGGAGUACGGCAGAGGGGGAUGGAAUUCCGCGUGUAGCAGUGAAAUGCGUAGAUAUGCGGAGGAACACCGAUGGCGAAGGCAAUCCCCUGGGCCUGUACUGACGCUCAUGCACGAAAGCGUGGGGAGCAAACAGG